GGCAGGGUAGCUCAGUUGGUUAGAGCACAGGACUCAUAAGCCUGGGGUCGGCGGUUCAAAUCCGCCCCCUGCUA
rnacentral:tRNA from 1 species